rnacentral:tRNA from 1 species
CUCUCUUUAGCUCAGUUUGGUAGAGCGUUGCAUUUGGGAUGCAAAGGUCGUAGGUUCAAGUCCUACAAGGGAGACCA